rnacentral:tRNA from 1 species
GCAGGCGUAGUUCAGUGGUAGAACUUCAGCUUCCCAAGCUGAUCACGCGGGUCCGAUUCCCGUCGCUUGCUCCA